GAAUUUUGGACAAUGGGCGAAAGCCUGAUCCAGCAAUGCCGCGUGCAGGAUGAAGGCCUUCGGGUUGUAAACUGCUUUUGUACGGAACGAAAAGCUUUGGGUUAAUACCCAGGAGGCAUGACGGUACCGUAAGAAUAAGCCCCGGCUCAACACGUUCCCGAAGCCGAGGGAAUACGUAGGGUGCAAGCGGUAAUCGGCAUUACUGGGCGUAAAGCGUGCGCAGGCGGUUUUGUAAGACAGAGGUGAAAUCCCCGGGCUCAACCUGGGAACUGCCUUUGUGACUGCAAGGCUAGAGUACGGCAGAGGGGGGUGGAAUUCCGCGUGUAGCAGUGAAAUGCGUAGAUAUGCGGAGGAACACCGAUGGCGAAGGCAACCCCCUGGGCCUGUACUGACGCUCAUGCACGAAAGCGUGGGGAGCAAAC
rnacentral:rRNA from 1 species